rnacentral:rRNA from 1 species
UACGAAGGGGGCUAGCGUUGCUCGGAAUCACUGGGCGUAAAGGGUGCGUAGGCGGGUUUUUAAGUCAGAGGUGAAAUCCUGGAGCUCAACUCCAGAACUGCCUUUGAUACUGAAAGUCUUGAGUAUGGGAGAGGUGAGUGGAACUGCGAGUGUAGAGGUGAAAUUCGUAGAUAUUCGCAAGAACACCAGUGGCGAAGGCGGCUCACUGGCCCGGUACUGACGCUGAGGCACGAAAGCGUGGGGAGCAAACAGGG